rnacentral:rRNA from 1 species
UGGGAAUCUGCCCUUGGGUUCGGGAUAACAGUUGGAAACGACUGCUAAUACCGGAUGAUGUCUUCGGACCAAAGAUUUAUCGCCCAGGGAUGAGCCCGCGUAAGAUUAGCUAGUUGGUGGGGUAAAAGCCUACCAAGGCGACGAUCUUUAGCUGGUCUGAGAGGAUGAUCAGCCACACUGGGACUGAGACACGGCCCAGACUCCUACGGGAGGCAG